GACGAACGCUGGCGGCGUGCUUAACACAUGCAAGUCGAACGAAGUGGCGAACGGGUGAGUAACGCGUAAUCCACCUGCCCUUCAGAGGGGGACAACAGUUGGACACGACUGCUAAUACCGCAUACUGAAGGAGGGGUUUGCGUUUGAUUAGCUAGUUGGAGGGGUAACGGCCCACCAAGGCGAUGACCAGUAGCCGGUCUGAGGGGGUGGACGGCAAAAUUGGGACUGAGACACGGCCCAGACUCCUACGGGGAGCAGCAGGGGGGGAUCUUCCGGAAUGGACGGAAGUCUUACGGAGCAACGCCGCGUGGGUGAUGACGGCCUUCGGGUUGUAAAGCUCUGUUAAUCAGGACGCGGUACCGGAAUAGAAAACCACGGCUAACUACGUGCCAGCAGCCGCGGUAAUUC
rnacentral:rRNA from 1 species